rnacentral:tRNA from 1 species
GGGAGUAUAGCUAAGUUGGCAGAUUGUUUGCCUUGCAUGCACAAGGCCCUGGGUUCUAUCCCCAGCACCUCCC